rnacentral:misc_RNA from 1 species
UGUGGGAGCUGGCUUGCCUGCGAUGCAGACACCUCGGUGCAUCAGGAAAACCCGGUCGAUGCCAUCGCAGGCAAGCCAGCUCCCACA